rnacentral:miRNA from 1 species
GGAAGCUGGCGGGAGGACACUGGCUGUGGCCCCUGGGCACUCCUGGCAGCAGCCUCUGUUCUCACCUAGUUCC